UUCAGCAGCCAUAUCACCCUGCAACUCACAACUGGCAACCCACUGAAGAGCUCAGCAGGCGUGAGCCUGGCCAGUACCUGGAUGGGGACCUCCUGGGAAAAACUAAGGUUGCUGCUGGAA
rnacentral:rRNA from 1 species